rnacentral:rRNA from 1 species
GACGAACGCUGGCGGCGUGCCUAAUACAUGCAAGUCGAACGCAGUGGGGACGGGUGCGUAACACGUGGGUAACCUCCCAUCAGAGGGGAUAACACUUGGAAACAGGUGCUAAACCGAUACUGAUGGAUGAACCCGCGGUGCAUUAGCUAGUUGGUGGGGUAACGGCUCAACAAGGCCACGAUGCAUAGCCGACCUGAGAGGGUGACCAGCCACACUGGGACGGAGACACGGCCCAGACUCCUACGGGAGGCAGCAGUGGGGAAUAUUCGGCAAUGGACUAAAGUCUGAUCGAGCAAUGCCGCGUGAGUGAAGAAGGUUUUCGGAUCGUAAAGCUCUGUUGUUAGGGAAGCGUUAUCUAACCAGGAAGCCACGGCUAACUACGUGCCAGCAGCCGCGGUAAUUC